rnacentral:rRNA from 1 species
UACGUAGGGGGCAAGCGUUGUCCGGAUUUAUUGGGCGUAAAGAGCGUGUAGGCGGCCAUACAGGUCCGUUGUGAAAACUGGAGGCUUAACCUCCAGACGUCGAUGGAAACCGUAUGGCUAGAGUCCGGAAGAGGAGAGUGGAAUUCCUGGUGUAGCGGUGAAAUGCGCAGAUAUCAGGAGGAACACCCGGUGGCGAAGGCGGGCUCUCGGCGG